AACGAACGCUGGCGGCAUGCCUAACACAUGCAAGUCGAACGGGAUCCUAGCUUGCUAGGUGAGAGUGGCGGACUGGUGAGUAACACGUGGGAAUCUGCCUUUUGGUUCGGGAUAACCGCGGGAAACUGCGGCUAAUACCGAAUGCCCUCGAGAGAGGAAAGAUUUAUCGCCAGAAGAGGAGCCCGCGUCCGAUUAGGUAGUUGGUGGGGUAAAGGCCUACCAAGCCGACGAUCGGUAGCUGGUCUGAGAGGAUGAUCAGCCACACUGGGACUGAGAUACGGCCCAGACUCCUACGGGAGGCAGCAGUGGGGAAUAUUGGACAAUGGGGGGCAACCCUGAUCCAGCAAUGCCGCGUGAGUGAUGAAGGCCUUAGGGUUGUAAAGCUCUUUUGCCAGGGAAGAUGAUGAGGUAACAGGAGAAGAAGCCCCGGCUAACUCCGUGCCAGCAGCCGCGGUAAU
rnacentral:rRNA from 1 species